rnacentral:lncRNA from 1 species
AGAGGAUUACCAUAGUCACACUGACCGAUUACUUAGGCUGGUCCAGGGAUCCACACUCAAUGGGGAUUUUCUAGAUCCAGGAAGUGGUUCUUAAUUUGGCAGCCCCAGAAAUUCAGUUUUAUCAAGGUAGCUGUGGGUAAGCCAUGUCCCUGGACCGAAGUCCCCGCUUCUGUUGGGCAGCCCUCUUCCACACAGCUCUCCUCUCUGGGUGCCAGUAUCCACUUCUUGUCCAUUCAGGCCUAAGGGAGAAACCCCAGUAAAGCCUGUGGCCUCUGCUUUCCCCUCGCUCCUGCUUCUGCCUCCUCACCAAACCUGCUGCUUGGCCGUGCCAUGCCAUGCUCCCUUCUCUCAGGAACUGUAAGUAACAAAACAUCUUUCAGUGGCAUUAACCUCUCCGUGUCAUCACUCAGUCACCUUGAUAAAUUAAGAGCCAGGCACAAAUCAUCCACCCAAAAUAAUUUUCUUCCCUCUUCUUCUCUCUCUCCCUUUCCUUCUUUCUCUGUGUCGAAAGUCUGUCCCUUCCCUUUGUUCCUUACC